ACAGAUAGAGGAUUUACCCAUAGAAACUUGCCUGCCUAUACUCAGUACAGAGCAUUUCCUCAGUAACUGUGUAGACAGUGGAGAAAUAUGUACCUUGUUCAGCACUUGUUCAGAUGGGCUUCAAUGUAGAUAAAUGCAGGGUGCUGCACCUGGGGAGAAGGAAUCCACAGCAUACAUACAAGCUGGGGAGCUCCCCCCUUGUGAGCACAUAGGCAGAAAGGGAUCUUGGAGUCAUUACUGACUCCAAGAUGAACAUGAGCCACCAAUACCAGACCACAGCCAGCAAAGCCACCUGCACCUUGUUGUGCAUCCAAAGAUGCAUCUCAAGUCAGUCCAGAGAAGUGAUACUCCCCCUCUACGCAACAUUGGUCAGGCCACAGUUGGAGUACUGCGUCCAGUUCUGGGCACCGCACUUUAAGAAGGAUGUGUUCUGCCUGGAGAGGGUUCAGAGGAGAGCCACCCGCUUGGUUGGAGGGCAACAGGACAGGCCCUAAGAGGAGAGGCUGAAGGACCUGAACCUGUUCAUCCUCAGCAAGCGGAGACUGAUGGGGGAUUUGGUGGAUGCCUACAAACUCAUUAGGGGAGAUCAACAAAUAGGAAGAGUCCUAUUCCCCCCAGCAGCACCUGGGGUGACAAGGAACAUUGGCCAGAAGCUGCUGGAUAAUAGGUUCAGGUUGGAGAUUAGGAGGCACUAUUUCACUGUCAGGGUAGCUAGGAUCUGGAACCAACUUCCUAGGGAAGUGGUCCUCACUCCUACCUUGGGUAAAUUCAAGAGGAGGUUGGAUGAACACCUGUCUGGGGUCGUGUGCUCCAACCAGUGGCAGGGGGUUAGACUAGAUGAUCUAUUCAGGUCCCUUCUGACCCCUAACUACUAUGAAACUUUGAAGAACCUUUAUAUCAAAAUUAAAAUGUAGCAGUAAGUAAAGUCCAAAGCAGAUGUGAAAGAGGAAAUAGUAUGUGGCCCCAGCAUAGGUCUCGUGCAAUCUAGUAAAUGCACAUGCUAUGCAUAGCUGUCAUUUCUAGGAUUUCCAGCUGCUAACUAAGAAGAGUGACUCAUUUAAGUGUACUUAUGAUUUCCACUUAGAAAGAAUACAGGCAGCCAGGUACAGACACUGAAAUGUAUGCGUGAGAGUAAUACCUCUCAGAACCAGAUACUGAUUCAUGACUGGACUGUAUUUCUGCCAGUUCAGUGGCCUCCUGUGUCUGAUGCCUUAGUUUACUUUUAUUUACUGAAAGUAUGCCCAGCAUCCACAUACUUGAAUCAUCCCAGCACUCUCAAAGCAUUCAUCAGCACUCCUUCAGAAUGAAGCCCUGAAGAAAUUGAAUUGCAAAUUCCUGGUGUUGGGCAGUGUGGUGGGGCACCUUUGGGUGCCUGCCACUUUAAGGGCUUAAGCAGGUAGCAGAGCCAAUGGGGGGGGUGUCACAUGGCAACCAGGAGACCGCCUGAUUGGAGGAGGGCUUGGCUGCUUGAGUAUAAGACAAGGCACAGGGAGCAGGGCCAGCAGUUGCUGCUGGGAUGCUAUCGAGGUAAAGUCUCCCAGUGGGAGAUUUGCUGUUCCCAGGAACAUUCUGGAAGUCAGGGUAGGAACUGUGGGGAAAGAGGAGGUUUCUAAGAACCCAGUGGGGGUCCCAAGCCCCAAGGAAGUAGCUGUGGGCCUAGAGCGGUGGAGAGGCCAGCCUAGUAAGAGAGAGAGGCGGUGCACACAAGGGCCUCGGGAAGAGCCAAGUCAGCCUAGGAAAGGGGCUUAGAGUUUGUGGGCAAACUAAGGAGCUAGGUUAGCUCCUGGUUAGAACUGGUGGUGAGGCCAGGGGCUCAGAUGAGCCCAGUGUAGUAAAGGGUAGCUUUAUAUAAGAUCUCUGGGGCUCUAGGCAAGCCCAGCCUGACAGGACUGCUUUAUGGAGGGGCCCAGAGGGGAUCCCUGCUGAGGAAGAAGGUCAGCUGCUUCCAGACUGAUCCCUAGACUGGUCAACGCGUGGGGCCAGGGUCAACAGGCCAAAGGAAAUCAAAUCUAUUUUGCUGCACAUCCAGAAGAUUUAGGAAUAUGGACAGCAUUUUCAGGCAUAGUAACUUGAGAAACUCUUCACUCCAGCAACUACAGCUUAUCUGCCAAGGGAGAGGCCACUGCCCAGCACCUGGAAGCUGCCCAACCACUUUCAGGCACUGCAGGGAUCAUCCAGGUAGCCACCGGGUCCCCCCUGAGCCUGCACUUUUCCAGACUGAAGAGUCCCAAGGGAGGAGUGGCAGCUGCCCCAGGACAGCUACAAGGAGCUGAGGCAACUGUGGGCCUCCAUCAAUACUGCCAUCUAGGAAGAGUGCAGGGUGUUGCAGCAGCUCUUGGCUGCCAUCCCCACCCCAGCUGCCCCUGCCAUUGUGCCCCAGCCCAUGCCAGCCCCAGCACAGGCACCAGGUCCCCCUGGCCAGCCCAUGACCCCACCACCAGGGGCAGGGCCCAGGUGGAAGUAUUAUGCCUGGCUGGUGGCUCAGUUGGCACCUCAGCAGGGACCACGGUAUCUGCUGCAGAGAAGCGUUGCUCCUGCCUCUCCGUUUCCCAAUCCUGGGCCUGAAUGCAGCAUCUGCCUCUGAGGAGGAGCACCCAGCCUCCUCCCCAGAGCAGCUGGGGCCCCAGCCACGUCAGCAUGGCCCCCACACAUAGGGUGGUUGCACACAGGGCCAAGGCCAGGGUCAGGGACAAGGGGCUGCGAACCCCUGAUUCCCUUCUUCCUGCACCUCCUCCCCUGGUGUUUCCCUCACUCCUAAGGACCCUUUUUCUUGCUUCUGAUGCUUGUGUGAAUAGUUGCCAUUUAUUUCUGGUUUUGAAUGGGUUUGUGCAUGGGUGGGGGCUGGGUGCAUGGUGGUGAGGUUGUGGAGGGUCUCAUGUGAAGUACUGUUGGUGUUGGAGAGAGGGAGGGGGAAUAAAGUUGCUUUUGUUUUCAUCACAGCCACAUAGCUUAUGUUGUUGCAGUUCUGGCAGGCCAGGGAUGGAGACCCCUGGGCAGGUGGCCUGGUGCAGAUGGUGAGAAGAUUGGUGCUCUACUCAGGGAUGUGGGCUUGCAGAUGGGUGCUGAUAGCUUCACUCACUCUGGCUCCCAUGUACUGCCAUUGGAAGGGGUGUUUCUUACCCGCAACAAUGUUUCUGGCUGCCUAACUCUGCUGCUGCUUUACUGGAUGCACCAUGAUGCAUGCAUGGCUGGAUGCAGCCAUGGGGCCACAGGUCCAAGGGAACAGAUGCUGUAGCAGGUGGCAGUGGGUCUCAGCAAGGUGGCAGUCCCUGCUGCCAGACUGCUGCAGUGGGUACAGGGUGCCACUCUAGGUCAGAGCUGAUGCAGACCAGCUGGCACAGGGAGCUAGUGUCCCAAGACAGAACUGGCUGGGCCUGAGAAGCUUCUGAGGGCAAGUAGCCUUGAGUUGCUCACCAGGCCCCCAGUUUAUACUGCUGGUUCUGGCCCCAGCCUCCAGCUGAAGAGCCAGGAGGAGCUGGUCAACAGCAGUUUGCCCAAAGUGGCACAGUUUGUCCUGUGACAAAGCCAUGUUCAGGCAUGUGCACUGAGGCACAAAUUACUGGCACAAAUUUGUUCCGCUAUUACUUCUGCCAGUACAAGUGUAUGUCCCUGCAUAUGUGGAUAUAGCCUUAGAGGAAAAGUGCCAUUUCAUCUUAUAUGGAUGAGUCCAGUGGAGGG